GUCUUUGAUAGCCCCCACUAGAGACCCCACCAGUAUGAGCCUCUGUAGAAAAUGUUGGCAUUUCUCUUCCUCACAGACAGGAAGAUCCCAGAUUGCAGGAGGAAGGGGUAAUUAGUACAGAUAGUCAGACAAAUGGCAAAUUUUGAGUGGACAAGUCGGGCACUUGACAAGAUGUUUGAAACAGCCCCGGUGGGAGGAAGCGCACCAAAUGCAAGGAGGUGUUUCCCUGACUUGUUACAAUUUGCUUUCUCCACAGAGCUGAUGAGCAGGACCUGUCCUCUGAGCUGGCACCUCCAGGACCCUGAGCAGGAGCUGUCCCAGGAGCUUGGGACAAAGCUGCUGUCACUCAUUUUUCACGGCGCUCUUUGUAUUUUUGAGGAACUAUUCUGUAAUUGCAGGGAAUGAAAAAAGGAGUUCAUAGGCCAAGAGACAAAUGUCUGGUGACAGCCAAGAAGAUAUUAAUUUGAAUGUCCUUGUCUUGGUGUGUGGCCUUUAACUUCUGGAGGCAGAAGGUAAGUGAGAAGGUCUCUACCCAGACAGAGUGCUGGUAGCUCUCAUCUGAGGUUCUCCACAUUUCAGAGAAGACUCCAAAGUGGGCAGUUUUCCAUUCCUUUUUGCCCCUACAGCAGCAAAGUCCACGCACUUGUUGUUCAUGGUGACAUCAGGUUUGGGAUCUGUUUCCUUGGUGUUUAUCUGCAUAUUGUGGCCUGAGCCAGAGCACAUUGAAACAGGAAAAGAAGAUUACUGCUGGCUUGACAGUCCAGAGACUCCAGAUCUCAGGACAUUCCUGAUGGUUUCACCACCCAAGGGUCUUAGAGGUUUCUUGCUCCUACAAGCAAUGGAGAAAAUCAUCUGGCAUUUUGUAGGUACAACAGCCUUGGAGUUUGUCCUGUUGUUGCACAAGAAAUAAUCUCCAGUCCUUCUCUAACAGCUCUGCUGCUGCUUUCCUACUCAGAAAAGAGGCCAGCUGGCUGAGAAAGCAUUUUUCCCUUCAGCAGAAAAGGGGUGUGAGAUACAAGUCUGUUUCAGAAGAUCCAGCACUAUGGCUUUGAUCUUGUUUUCCUUUGCUGGUGUUAUCCCAUCAUCAGCCAGCGAGAGACAGAGAAGAAAACUGGCUUUAUCAGGAAGACAGUUAUUCUUUUGUUCUGCAGGACUACAAAGGGCUUGGCUUCUAAUGGUCUUUACUCAACCUGUGCAUGGAUAAGCAGGUAAAGACACCACUGUCUUUACUGAGCAAAAGGAACAGGGGGCAAUAGGCAGUGAAAGAUGGGCAAAAGACAAGGAUUAGGUUUCAAACAAAUAAAUUUGAUUGAAGAAAUUUCCCCACCUCCUGAAGUGUCAAUGAAUCUGUAACAACUCAGUCUAUUCAAAAAUUUAAACUGCAGCCCCAAAUCUGAGUGUGCUUCAGUGAGGGUAAAGGCUUGGAAAGGUAUUAUGUUUUUUUGGCUUUGCCAAGAUAAUGUAGUCUCCUGAUGUCUAGGAAGUGGUGAUCAAAGAAAAGCUGUCUUGGGGGGUGCAAGUGCCUGCUGGGUAAGUAAAGUGAGGGAUGUGUAAAGGUCAGAGUGCUCUGUUGAUAAGGGGAUGCACUGAAAGGGCACAAGAACCACAGAAGACUUCCUGUGUCAUUACAGCAGGUGCUGUAUGAAGCUGAGAGAAUAGCUGAACAAAGCAAACCACAAGGAUGGCAGGAUAUUUAAAGCAAAAUGGGGAAAUAAUGAGUCAUCCCUAUUUAUGAAAGUGCAGGAAAAGAGAUUUCUGUCUCAGGUAAUUUCUCGGUGGGAUAUAAAAGCAGCCUUUAACAAAAGGGGGAAAAAAAUCUUAAUUCCAUUUAAUUUCCUUUAGCCCAAGCAACCAAAAUCCCUUUAGACUACAGAAGCUACCAAUUAUGUAACAUUGUUAGGGAAAAAAGUGAGUAUUUUCCAGGAGUCUGGAGUUGAAUCUAUCCCUGUAAUCAGUGAUGUGCUGCUUGGUUGUAAACAAACAUGUCUCUACUCAGGAGUGUUCCUCAGAUACCCAGAGUUAAACAGCAUCAGUGGAACAUUAGAGAAACGUCUUGUUUGGCCUCAUUUGGAACAGAUAAUUCCCAUGGAAGAGGUAGCCCAAGGCUUCCUGAUGCUGCUGAAUCAUCAGGGUUUUUUUUCAAAGAAAAGAAGGACAAAGGAUGAUAGCUGUCCCAGGGAUUGACACAUUGCCCCGGCUGGUGGGGCAGGUUCCCAGGAGCGACAAGAAAUUCAGCUCAGUUCAGCUGCAGAUGAAAGCUGUAGCUUUCCAUGGAAACCACUGGAUUCAUUCUUUACCUUUGGCUACAGGUAAUUGCUUUACCUCAUGCAAUUAUGUGUGAUAAUUAGAAGUAGAUUGUGCAAGGAAAAACAAAAAAACAUUAACACAUCCUUUGUAUUUGUGGUCUGCUCCUUUAAGAAUGAUUAUGAUUUCUUUAACAGUUUAUUUUUUUUUAGACCAACCUAAACCUUUCUGUUUAGUUGAUCAAGCACAAGAAGGGAAAAGAAAAGUAUAUUUUCAGCACAUUACAGAGUUCUGUUCAUUUUUAGGCAUGCUCUCUAGGACAAGCCCUUAUUGGAACUGCAGUGGAAAACCUGAAUGAUUUAAGGACUCUAAAAUUCUCAUUUCCUUCCAGUCUGAUACAAUGAGGGAUGACAGCUAAGACACCAGGCAGACCUCAGAAAUAGAUGCAGAUCAAUACACUACAAACAUUUUGGUUUGCUCAAAAUAUAUUAAAGCACUUAUCUUGUGCUCUCUCUGUUGUAUUGGUUUGUUUGGCGUUCUUUUACAUAAGUUCUUUUUUGAAAAGUGAGAAGUGGCAAGGUAGAGGACAGUUUAAUAAAGGUUUCUAAAGGUCCCAAUUCUUCAUUUCUUGAGUACCAGGCUGCUAUUCUUAAUGAAAGGUCAGGCAACUGAAUUGUCCCUGGGAUUUCACUUAAUUAUAUUCAGAGAUGGAAACUUUGUUGUCACAGACUAAUAAACCAGCAGAUGGCUUUAAGGAAGUCGGUAAGGUGGCAGUUUUAAAUAGAAACCUGCUUGCUUAAAAAUAGAAAAGACAGUAGAUUUGAGGGAGAUGUUCUGUAACAGCAUGUCACUUCUCCACUGCAGGCCAAGAGACAUGGUUUUCAGCAGUGUUAGGAACGCUGAGUUCAUUGUUAGUGUUAUCCUCUGAGCCUCCAGCUGAAGGGCCUGUAGCUGGAGAUUUCUUACUGACAAACCUUUUAGUCUGAAACUUGGCCUGUGAUAACAUGUGUGAUUUUUCUUAAUUCUUGCAAAGCCAUUUAUCCAGGGAUGUAAUUGAAAUCUGGAGAUGCCACAGGAUGCUGUGGUUGUACUGAGACCCAGUCUUGAAAUGUUAAGUAAGUAAAGAUGCUUAACGGUUUACACCCUUAAUGUUGACCCAUUUUAUAAUUAUUUUGACAUUUUCCUUUACUUGUUUUGGGUUCAUCGUUUUCCUGAGAAUAAUUUGCCUCCCUUGUCAGUCCUGCAGUUUUUUAUGGUACAGCAGAAGUGAUAUUCCAGUAUUCCAGCUAUGUUCACAAACACUGCAAACUCAAGGAUUGUUUGAGGCACUUGUGCAUAUUACCAUGUAUAAAAGAAAAAAUAAUUUAAAAGAACACAUGAACAUGAACAGCGUCCUGCAGGUUCUGUGACUCCCCAGGAGCAGUUCUUGCUCUGGAUGUCCUUCUGGGGGCCAGUUCGUGCUGUACAGGGUGCUGCAGGCCAGGCUAGCCCCGGCUGUGCACAGGGGACACCCCAACACCUGCACUCCACUGUCAGUCUCACACAGGCGAUCAAUGCUUCUCCCACUUGAAGCAGGAAAUCAGUUGUGCUCUGGAGAGGACCCAGGCUGAUGCAAGGAAGGGCAGAGUCACACUGUCACUGCUGCCUGGUGCUGCGCUGCUGGCUUGGCCGUGGUGUGAUGCUGCAUUUCCAUUUGUUUGCCUCUCAGAAAAUCAAUAGACUAGCUCUGUCAGGAGCCCUGGUGAACAUCAAGAGCCUUGUGCCUCUUUCUUUCAGUAUUGGACACAAAUGACCUAAAUAUUAGAAGAGGAUCCUUUACUCUCCUGACUGCAGACUUGUCCCAGCAGUCCUGCAGACUGACUGGGGGUGGGGGUCCAGAGUCACCUUAGACAUAAAUGGAAAGAACAAACCCUAACUUUCUUUAUCUUCUGCCUUUAAACUGAAGAUUUUAGUGUCAGGCUUUCUCUGGUUUUACCAGAUGUACGACUUUGUAAUCACUUUUUCUCAGCUGCAUCCUGGCUUUAGGUUUCUCCUCUGAGACAAGAGCUGCCCAGUGGAGCACCCGGCUGGAGGAGAGGAGGUGAGGCAGCCUUUGUCACACAGAGGGCUCUCCCUGAGGAAGAGUGGGCUAAACAACCUAAAAGAGGGACACAAGCGGAUUUCUGCCCCGUUCUGGACAUUUCCUUGCUCCAAGGCUACACGUGGUACAGCACAGAUGUAAUUAGAAGAGUUAUCAUUUGUCUGACACCUUUAGUCAGGGAACAUGGGCUGUCGCCCGGUUUGCAUGGUGAGUGUGAGAUAUUUGGAUCUGGCUGUAAACACUCCCAUUUCCAUAAACUCAAGACCAUCUUGUCUCAGUAUGAGCUCCUGAAAUUAGAGGCUGUUGUGAAAAUGCAGCCUCUUAUCUCUGUGUGAGAUAAAACUUGUAAUCCCCUUGUAACUUUUACCCACAGGGUGGGAUGCUGGGAGGACUAAACAGCUCCAAAUAUUGAACAAUGCGAGUCAGCACUAUGAGCAAUUGUUGUUGUGAGUCAAUGUUGAAUCCUUGCCAAAGAUGCCUUUUACAAAUAAAAUUUAGCACUAAUUUAUCAAUGGCUUAGUUCAAAACAUGAUGUAAAGCACUCAGUACAUAAUGAACCCAUCUGGAUCAAAAGAAAAUGCUCAUAACAACUUUAUUAUAAAUAAAUACUAUGUUUAA